rnacentral:rRNA from 1 species
UGGAGAGUUUGAUCCUGGCUCAGGACGAACGCUGGCGGCGUGCCUAAUACAUGCAAGUCGAGCGAAUGAUGAAGAAGCUUGCUUCUUCUGAUUNACCUGCCCUGUAGAUUGGGAUAACUCCGGGAAACCGGGGCUAAUACCGAAUAAUCCAUUUCCUCACAUGUGGAGAUGUUAAAAGACGGUUUCGGCUGUCACUACAGGAUGGGCCCGCGGCGCAUUAGCUAGUUGGUGAGGUAACGGCUCACCAAGGCGACGAUGCGUAGCCGACCUGAGAGGGUGAUCGGCCACACUGGGACUGAGACACGGCCCAGACUCCUACGGGAGGCAGCAGUAGGGAAUCUUCCACAAUGGACGAAAGUCUGAUGGAGCAACGCCGCGUGAG